rnacentral:rRNA from 1 species
AAUAUUGGACAAUGGGGGGAACCCUGAUCCAGCCAUGCCGCGUGUGUGAAGAAGGCCUNUUGGUUNUNAAGCACUUUAAGCGAGGNAGAGGCUACCUAGAUUAAUACUUUAGGAUAGUGGACGUUACUCGCAGAAUAAGCACCGGCUAACUCUGUGCCAGCAGCCGCGGUAAUACAGAGGGUGCGAGCGUUAAUCGGAUUUACUGGGCGUAAAGCGUGCGUAGGCGGCCAAUUAAGUCAAAUGUGAAAUCCCCGAGCUUAACUUGGGAAUUGCAUUCGAUACUGGUUGGCUAGAGUAUGGGAGAGGAUGGUAGAAUUCCAGGUGUAGCGGUGAAAUGCGUAGAGAUCUGGAGGAAUACCGAUGGCGAAGGCAGCCAUCUGGCCUGUAACUGACGCUGAGUCACGAAAGCGUGGGGAGCAAACAGG